ensembl:lncRNA
GUGAAGGCAAUGCAGCUGUGUGAUAGGAAGGGGUGGAGCCUGGCUGCACCUCUCUUAGACCUUAUUUAAGGGCUGACUGCCCCUGGGGAAGGGUCUCUUUCUGGAGAUCCCUCCUUGGUGGAGCUUUCUGCUGUGAACCUGGAAUCUUCUGAUAUGGCUUCUGUCUUGAGUAGAGUUGGUGCCAGUGGCUGACAUCUGACAUCCAAAGCCCAAGGCGAUGGGCACGUGGUGAAGGUGAUGACCUACUUAUGGCUGCAUCAGCAGGGAAGAGAAUGAACGCUAUAAGAGAAGUGGACCAUUCAUUGACAUCAGAGCCCAGAUAUGAUGGCAACUAGCUUUCAAGUAUGGGUUGUUUGUAUCCAGAGAGAGAAACUGCACCUUUCCUGAUGGGGUGCUUAAAGCCAGACAGAAUUCAGAUGCCAACAGAAAGCUCCAGACUGCCACAGGAGGAGAAGAAAGGAAGACGAGAAGAAAGAAAAUGAGAUGGGAUUUUCCUUAUCUUCCGCUUGCUGUGGGAACUGCUGAGCACAUGCUGUAAGCUGGAGCAGCACGACACGACUCUGCUGUCAGCAGCAGGUUCAAUUAGGAAUGUUUUACAGCCCAAUGGCACGAGCAGGGCGACCUUGGUGGGAGCCAUUUAUGUUUUGAUGACCUGAUGUCAGUCAAACGGGAGUCAAAUUUAUCCCAGCCCACGUUAAUGACAUGAAAACUCAUGGUUGGCCCAGUGUGGCCAAUGACUGGCAAUGGCAGACCCACACCUCUGGCAGAGGUUUGUCCCACCUGUGCUGGCUGCCUCCCAAUGCAAAGUUCUUGGCUUAGCCUGCAGGAAGUUAAAGCUCCCAGCCUCCUGCAAUCACAGCAACAGAUAUACACUAAUUUCUGUUCUUGAAAGAUAUAUUUUUCAUAAAUUUCACUUUCAGUGUUUGCAGUGUGGGCUCUUUCCCAAACAAAGCAGCCAGCGACUGAGCCUGGGUUUAUUGCCUCCACAAUCCAAAUUGCAGCUAUUAUCGCUAUCUACAACCUGCAAUUAUCCUCAGCUUGCAUAUUUCAUUUCUUUAUCAACACAUACUUUGCGCUGAUGAGAGGUGAUAGACUGGCAGCUCGGGAAGCCACGGCUGCUCUCCUACCAGCAGCUGCAAAGGCAGAGAGCAGCCCCUCACUCACUGCAGCAGCUGUGUGAUUGCUGCAGCAUUCAGGGACACAGAGCAUCUCAUGGUGGUGAGGGGAGUUCUGAUGCAUCUCAGGCCUCCCUGCUUUCCUCUGCCUUACUCUGUGCAGAAUGAAGGGAGCCCACCAUUUCAUGCAUUUUUCAUGGCCCUGCGGUGUUAUCCAUCCCUUGUGCUGCCUCAGCAGUUUUUGUUUCCUCUGCCAUGAUAGGGAUUGAUUUACCCAUCCCUAAAGAUCUUCAGGCUGCCAGGCUGGAGGGUUCUACCAUGCUGGGGCUGCUGUGCAGCUGCGUUUCCUGGGAUACUCCUAUUUCAUCCAGCAAUCCUGUCUGGGUGAAGUAGAAGUAGGACUUAAUAAUAACAACUUUGGUCACCGGGCAAGUUUGUAGAUUGAAAUGGCAAUGAGAUCUGGCUACCAGAUGCCUUUGGGAGGCUCAGUGACUGCUCAACGGGGAACCAAGCUGAAAUGUUUGGCUCUAUUCUUCAUUUCAAAGUAACUGCGUUGCAGAAUGUUCAUUCUGUUGAAAAUCAACAAAUCCACAGUCUCAAGAAGGGCUGCAGGGGAGACCCCAGAGUGCUUCCUUUCCUUCGUGCUGUGCCCACCAUGUGGAAUACAGAGCCAAUUUAGAUGGCAAUAUGCGCAUAUGUCCCUGAUGUAAGAGUUUGGAAGAAUCUGAAGCUCGAAAUUUGGCCUUCCUCUAUACUAGGCUUCUGGAUUGAUUGUGUACAUGUACUGUACUGAGUUUUUCUGUCCAUAACAGUCCUCAUGUAAGUAGGCAAAUGAACUUAAAACAUCUGAAGCACCCAUAAAAAGGAGAGGAGGGAAGGGAAGAGAAGGGAAGGGAAGGGAAGCUCCUCACCCCAAGAUGGCUGUAUGCAAUGUACUGAAUCUCCUGUGCUUCCCUUCCACUUUGCCAGUGCCAGUGUUUUUAAUAGGAGCCUUACUUGUGGCCAAACGAUCUGUCACCAUUUCUUCGCCUUUAACUCACAGUUCGAUAUCUGUAAUACUUCAUAAACAGAGCACAGGAUGAGACUAUUUUAAUUAGCUGUGUUGUAAAAAGAAAAGCUUUUAGUGUCUCGGGAAAUGAGUAAAUAUACAUGUAUGUAUUGCUUUAUUAUAAAGAGGUUCUCUG